rnacentral:rRNA from 1 species
UACAUAGGUGGCAAGCGUUGUUCGGAAUUACUGGGCGUAAAGGGCGCGUAGGCGGCCUUCUAAGUCAGACGUGAAAUCCCCCGGCUUAACCUGGGAACUGCGUCUGAUACUGGGAGGCUUGAGUAUGGGAGAGGGAUGUAGAAUUCCAGGUGUAGCGGUGAAAUGCGUAGAUAUCUGGAGGAAUACCGGUGGCGAAGGCGGCAUCCUGGACCAUAACUGACGCUGAGGAGCGAAAGCCAGGGGAGCAAACGGG